UACGUAGGGUGCGAGCGUUAAUCGGAAUUACUGGGCGUAAAGCGUGCGCAGGCGGUUCGUUGUGUCGGCGGUGAAAGCCCGGGCUUAACCUGGAACGGCCGUUGAACUGGCGAACUGGAGUGUGGCAGAGGGGUGGAAUUCCGCGUGUAGCAGUGAAUCGUAGAUAUUCGGAGGAACACCAGAAGCGAAGGCGGCCAACUG
rnacentral:rRNA from 1 species